GCUGUUUUUAUGAAAUCUGAACCUUCUGUCAUACUUGGAAAAUUGCAUGGAAAUGAACUUACUACAAUACUACAGUCAUUGGGCUUGCCUGGUUUGAAUAGGAAGGGAAAGAAUCGACAAAUUGAGCUAUUGGUCAACCAUCAUGUCAGUGGUAAAGAUUGGAAUAUUGUUUUCCCUGACAAGGUUAGUCAUUAAUCAUUGUUAUCACUCAAAAUCAAAAUCAUUGUUAUCACUCAAAAUCAAAAUCAUUGUUAUCACUCCAAAUCAAAUGGCCCACCACCAAAUAGGCAUUUUUUUAGAUGACUCCCCUGCCAUCUCAAAAAGAAACAAGUUUUUUUAAUGAAGAUAGGCAAUGGUUGGCUGCCUUCCUAAAUAGUAUACCUUUAAUCGUAUCUAUUUUGAACUUGUGUUUUUUUUAAUAAAUUGGUUUUCCACAAAACAAUUAUUAUUAUUGAUAAUAAUGUUUUAAUAAGUAAUACAAGCAUUAUCAUUCUAAUUUUCAGCUGAAAAGAAAGAAAUAAGUGGCCAUGGUUCAUUUGAUGGAACUGAGGAAUACCAAUUUGUAUGUACUGUUACUACUGUAUAAUUUAUUAUUAUACAUAGUUAGGACAUGG